UCCAUCGUGGUGCAGUGGUCAGCACACCAGACUGCAUGUCUGGAGACCCGAGUUCGAUUCUCGGCGAUGGAA